UACGUAGGGACCGAGCGUUGUCCGGAAUCAUUGGGCGUAAAGAGCGUGUAGGCGGCUCGCUAAGUCUUGCGUGAAAUCUCGGGGCUCAACCCCGAGCGGUCGUGAGAAACUGGCGGGCUAGAGUGCGGGAGAGGAGAGUGGAAUUCCUGGUGUAGCGGUGAAAUGCGCAGAUAUCAGGAGGAACACCAAUGGCGAAGGCAGAUCUCUGGGCCGUAACUGACGCUGAGGAGCGAAAGCAGUGGGGAGCGAACAGGG
rnacentral:rRNA from 1 species